GACGAACGCUGGCGGCGUGCCUAAUACAUGCAAGUCGAACGCAGUGGGGACGGGUGAGUAACACGUGGGUAACCUCCCAUCAGAGGGGAUAACACUUGGAAACAGGUGCUAAACCGAUACUGAUGGAUGGACCCGCGGUGCAUUAGCUAGUUGGUGAGGUAACGGCUCACCAAGGCCACGAUGCAUAGCCGACCGUGGAGGGGGAUCGGCCACACUGGGACUGGGAAACGGCCCAGACUCCUACGGGAGGCAGCAGUAGGGAAACUUUGGCAAAGGGGGGAAACCUUACCCAGCAACGCCGGCGGAGUGAAGAAGGGUUUCGGAUCGUAAAGCCCUGUUGUUAAGGAAGCGGUACUUAACCAGAAAGGGACGGCUAACUACGUGCCAGCAGCCGCGGUAAUAC
rnacentral:rRNA from 1 species